UACGGAGGAGGCAAGCGUUAUCCGGAAUUAUUGGGCGUAAAGCGUCCGUAGGUGGCUAGUCAAGUCUGCGGUCAAAGACUGGGGCUUAACCCAGAAAGGUCAACCGAUACUGCGGGGCUAGAGUGCAGAAGGGGCAACUGGAAUUCUCGGUGUAGCGGUGAAAUGCGUAGAUAUCGAGAGGAACACCUGCGGCGAAGGCGGGUUGCUGGGCUGACACUGACGCUGAUGCGCGAAAGCUAGGGGAGCGAACGGG
rnacentral:rRNA from 1 species